UCAAAAACCCCGGGAGAUGGAACGUCAGUCAGAUUCACAUGGAAUGCAAGGGAGCCAAAUGUCUUCUUCCAGCUUGAGUUCUGCCAAACAAGAAAGGGAGCACUCUGUGAUGCCAAUGCAAGGUCCUAACAAGCAGCAGCUACAGCAACAGCAACAGCAGCACCAACAGCAACAGCAACAGCAGCAGCAACAGCAACAGCAACAGCAGCAGCAACAACAACAACAGCAGCAGCAGCCUCAGCAACAGAAGCAGCAUCUGCACUUUUCACAGACACCUUUUACUAUGUAUGGGAGUGCUGGUGGUAAUUAUCACUCAUAUACAGGCACUAAUGUUAAUAC
rnacentral:lncRNA from 1 species